AAACCUAUACCGUAAACCCCAUUCCUCCUUACAUGAUAGCACAAGCAUUGGUGUUCUCAUCGUUAAACAUCUGGUGAGGUGGAUUAACAGACACCGGGUAACCUGGCACAUACCCGGGGUAACCAUGCCCGUGUGGGUGCGGAUACGGGUUUCCAUACGCGUAAGCUGGGUGCCCGUAUCCGGGAUAACCCGGAAUGUAACCAGGCAUGUGUCCAAAUUGGGGUGGAAGCAUGAACUCCAUUCGGUUCCCUUCCAUCUUGCCACCAUUAGCUUCGUUCCCACCAUCUUCACCACCACCCUUGUUCUUCUUCUUCCCUCCGUCGCCGCCCUCCUUGUUGCCAUCCUUCUCUU
rnacentral:lncRNA from 1 species